rnacentral:rRNA from 1 species
UAUCCGAAGACGUGAUGUGGAGCGAAAUAAAGUAGCAAAGCGUGUGAGCCAUGUGCCGAGAAAAGCUGCUAUUGUGUAAUGCGUGCCCGUACCGUAAACCGACACAGGUGGAUGAGGAGAGAAUCCUAAGGCCGACGGAAGAAGCAUUGUUAAGGAAUUCGGCAAAAUGACCCCGUAACUUCGGGAGAAGGGGUGCCUGCGAGAGCAGGCCGCAGAGAAUAGGCUCAAGCAACUGUUUAGCAAAAACACAGGUCUAUGCGAAACCGAAAGGUGAAGUAUAUGGGCUGACGCCUGCCCGGUGCUGGAAGGUUAAGAGGAAAGGUUAGCGUAAGCGAAGCUUUGAAUUUAAGCCCCAGUAAACGGCGGCCGUAACGAUAACGGUCCUAAGGUAGCGAAAUUCCUUGUCGGGUAAGUUCCGACCCGCACGAAAGGCUUAAUGAUUUGAGCACUGUCUCGACAAUGCAUCCGGUGAAAUUGAAGUACCAGUGAAGAUGCUGGUUACCCGCGCCAGGACGGAAAGACCCCAUGGAGCUUUACUCCAGUUUGAUACUGGGAUUCGGUACUGCAUGUACAGGAUAGGUGGGAGACGAAGAAGGAUGGACGCCAGUCUGUCCGGAGUCGCUGUUGGGAUACCACCCCUGUAGUACUGGGUUUCUAACCAGUUGCCAUGAACUGGCAAUGGGACAAUGUCAGGCGGGGAGUUUGACUGGGGCGGUCGCCUCCGAAAGGGUAUCGGAGGCGCUCAAAGGUUCCCUCAGAAUGGUUGGAAACCAUUUGAAGAGUGCAAAGGCAGAAGGGAGCUUGACUGCGACACCGACGGGUGGAGCAGGUACGAAAGUAGGACUUAGUGAUCCGGUGGUAUAAAGUGGGAUUGCCAUCGCUCAACGGAUAAAAGCUACCCUGGGAUAACAGGCUUAUCACUCCCAAGAGUUCACAUCGACGGAGUGGUUUGGCACCUCGAUGUCGGCUCAUCGCAUCCUGGGGCUGUAGCAGGUCCCAAGGGUUGGGCUGUUCGCCCAUUAAAGCGGUACGCGAGCUGGGUUCAGAACGUCGUGAGACAGUUCGGUCCCUAUCCGGCGCGGGCGGAGGAUAUUUGAGAGGAGCUGUCCUUAGUACGAGAGGACCGGGAUGGACGGACCACUGGUGUAUCUGUUGUCGACCAACGGCAUGGCAGAGUAGCCAAGUCUGGAAGGGAUAAACGCUGAAGGCAUCUAAGCGUGAAGCCCCCCUCAAGAUGAGAUAUCCCUCCUUCGGGAGUAAGACCCCUUGAAGACUACAAGGUAGAUAGGGCAGAGGUGGAAGCAUGGCAACAUGUGGAGCUGACUGUUACUAAUAGGUCGAGGGCUUAAUGA